GAUGAACGCUGGCGGCGUGCCUAAUACAUGCAAGUCGAGCGAACAGACGAGGAGCUUGCUCCUCUGACGUUAGCGGCGGACGGGUGAGUAACACGUGGAUAACCUACCUAUAAGACUGGGAUAACUUCGGGAAACCGGAGCUAAUACCGGAUAAUAUAUUGAACCGCAUGGUUCAAUAGUGAAAGACGGUUUUGCUGUCACUUAUAGAUGGAUCCGCGCCGCAUUAGCUAGUUGGUAAGGUAACGGCUUACCAAGGCAACGAUGCGUAGCCGACCUGAGAGGGUGAUCGGCCACACUGGAACUGAGACACGGUCCAGACCCCUACGGGAGGCAGCAGUAGGGAAUCUUCCGCAAUGGGCGAAAGCCUGACGGAGCAACGCCGCGUGAGUGAUGAAGGUCUUCAGAUCGUAAAACUCUGUUAUUAGGGAAGAACAAAUGUGUAAGUAACUAUGCACGUCUUGACGGUACCUAAUCAGAAAGCCACGGCUAACUACGUG
rnacentral:rRNA from 1 species